AGAGAAUACUCAUUCCUAUUGCCAUUGAAUUUCAUGUAAUUUUCCCCAAAAGAAGAGUGCGUCCAGAUAAUAUUGUGGUUCCCAACUGUGUCUUUUUGCACCUCUGGUGGGGUUUUCAAAUGGCUGGUGAGGUCGGCUGAGGUGCCAGCACCACCUUCAACUGUGCCUCGAGUCAGUCCCCUUAAAGCACCCUUGUCCAUGGUAGCCAUGGACACGAUGGUUUCUUUGUGAUGCAGAUGUUUGUUUUCAGAGGGAAAGAUGUUCAACUCUUUGAGCCUAGUUGUGCCACGGAAGGUUGGACAUGGAAAAGGUUUUCUUAAGGAAAUGGACAGAAAACAUCACCCCCUUUGGACAGGCUUCAAGGGCACAGCCCUCAUCCCUGGGGAUUGGCAUCGGACUUGGGUAUCUGUGUGGGGUAUGAUGAAUCCCACUCAAAGCUGAUAAAUACAGGUGGGACCGUCCACAGACCAGAUCACAGAGCUGAUCCCCACAUGGUUAUCACCAGUGGCAUCCAGCAUUUGGGGACCCAACAGGAAAGCCACAAGGGCUGAUGUGCCACCGUUUCACCCACCUUCCAAAAUGCAGCAGGCUCAGGUGUCCAAGAAUUUCCAAGAAAAUCCAAACAGUGACAUCCAGGAGCAGCAAGCCAUGGCCUGAGGAAGGUGGGCAGAGGAGUGUCUGAGAGUGGCUGCCAUCAGAAAACCUGCAUCACCUGGGAGCCUCAUGGGUGGGAAAACCUCAGACCCACUUGUUAGGCAGAGGACAAAGGCUGAUGAAGGCAGGCAGCACCCCAGCAACGAUCAAGUCCAACCUACGGCUCCAGGUCCACCAGAAGCAACCAGCAUGUCAUGGACAGGUCAAGCAGCACUGGAUGGGGGCUUGUUUUCAGGGCUCUGUGUCUGCAGGAAAGGGACUUGUUGUCCCUCAGGAGGGAGAAGUGCCCGAGGGAAGCCGUAUUCCUCCCCUCCAUCAAGGGGAGCACGAAUAUCCACACAGUUCUGGGGUGUUUAACAUCAAACGGAGAGAGAAUUAAAGUGCUUGUGUCUGUGGCUGCUUUACACAUUAGCUUUUGACAGGAUGAAAACAUAACCCACUGUUUUUGCCUUUAUAAGCGAUACUUGGCUUUUUCUGCUCCCAAGCUUGUCUGCUGUGCAGCGUAUUUCUUCUGCUGAUAAAUAUUUAUGCUCCAUGAUUUUGAUUUAUACGAAGGGCUUAAAUAUCGUAAAGCUGGAUAUAACCAGCAUAAAAUAACAUAAAACAAAGCACUAGUAUCCAGAAUGGGGUGGACUAAAAAGGCAUGGCUCCCAUGGCAGCCAAAUUUUGCCCCAGAAAUGACCUCUUUCCCCCCAAGAAUGGCACAACUUGGCAGCUUCCCCCUCUCUGCAUUACAAUUGAGAUUCCAAAACUGUGUGUAUCAAACAGGAAAGGUGUUUGCAGUAUUGCCAAGGUUACUAGAGUGAAAACAUUGCAAAUGUCAUUUGCAUGAUUGUACUUUCAAAUCCUAACUUGUAGCAACAGUGCAUUUUAAAUGAAGGUGAUUUAUAACUCCAACCAGAACACUAAUCAUAUUUUGGAGUAAUAGGAUUUAUUUGUUGGUUGUUUGGUGGUUGUGUUCUUUAAGCUCAGAGACAACAAGCUAUGUUCAUGAAAAGGGACAUGGCUGGGCUUAAACCCUACCCCAACAACAUUUUGAAAGGAUUAGAAAAUAAACACGAAUGAACUCUAUUUUCA
rnacentral:lncRNA from 1 species